rnacentral:lncRNA from 1 species
AUGCAAGCGGUGCUCGCUGCCCGUGGGUCUGCAGUUUUGGGGUUUGGAUCACCCAGGGGCAGCAGAGACAGGUCCUGCACAGGAUCCCAGCACCGCCAGGGGAAGGUGCCAAGCUCUGCCUGUGCUUCUGCCAGCUGGGAAGAGCGGGGCUGGCACUGUGGGACCGCAGCUCCCCGGGCUCCUCGCAGCAGUAUCCAGGCAACACUUCCACCCCGCACACAUGCGCGUGCCGCACACGCAUCCCCCUGCCUGGGGAGGGGAGGAUUGCCCUUCUUCCAGCCAGAAGGGGAGCUGCAGAUCCUGGAAGGAGCAGAAAAGCAGAAGAGUCACCCAGGUUCCAGCCGAUUGGGUCAGGCAAGGUGCAGAUCAGGUGAGAAAAAAAAUAAAACACCAUCCGAGAGCGCGCGGGAGCUCGCUCCCCUCCUCGCACCGACUCGCCCUGGGAUUUAUUUGGUUGCCACAUUCGGGCUCCUCCUGGGGAAAGGAGGGAGCGUGUUGCCAGAGCGCGGCUCUCUAAAGAAGAGGCUGCUCUGUUUCACCUCCGAGCACACGGAGCUGGCUGCCUGCAUACGCCGAGCAGCAGCAGCAGCGCUGGCUGAGUGCCCAUCUUAGCACAGUCCACGCAAGCUCCUGCAAUGCCACGGCGAGCCGUCAGCCCCGGCCAACGCACGGGCUCCGCUGCCCCGGGGGCUCGCAGGCGUCCACGGCUGCUCUCAGUGCUUUCACAGCAGGAACAAAUCCCAGGGACUCAUUAGCAGAGGCUGCGGUCUCUGCCCUGCCCGGGGAAAAAGAAUCCUUCGGCGCGCAUUACACGCCUGGUCUUCCUCGUAGCGGCGGAGAGGAGACUCCGGGAUCCAUCUCCCAGCGUAACAGGAUGGGGUGGGGGAAGCAGCCUAUUUUUAUAGCUGCUCCGGAGCCGUGCCCGGCUACUUUUGGUUCAAGCCUCCACCACAAGCAGAGCGAGAGAGCUUGUGUGUGUGUGUUAUUUUUUUUUCUUUGCUAUUGAUCACUGUCAAAAUGUCAUGCCAAGUCGCUCGGCAAACAGGCUGAGAGGAUCCAACUUUAUGUUCCCGCAUAAAGAACACUCGGAUUUAACACUGGCAUCGCCGCUCGCAUCCUCCUCCCCUUCUGUUCCUCCAUCAGCUGGAGCGAGAUCCUUCAGCACAAGCACCACCCCAGCCAAGGAAAGCAGAGAGGCCCUUCCCCAGGGCCAGAACAGCCACACGGCCGGCUUCGGCAGCGACCACGAGGUGUUUUGAGUUGCUGGCAGCUCCCUGCUUCGCUGCAGCAGGCGGCCUCGCCCCCUCCUGCCUGCCCUUUGCGGCCGCCUCGCUCGCUGCGGGCACUUUCACUCCUGCUGAGCCGCUGUCACUUCCUCGUGGGAACACACCACCCGGUACGGGCUGUGAACGCGACCGCUGCUCUGUUUGGGGAGGGCUCAAACCACCGAGGGUAAACGCCGCAGGGGUUUUAGACCACCGGGUUGUUUGUCCCUGGGCACGGGGACAGAGCGGAGGUGCCCGGGCUGCCCUGCCCCAGCGCCGCGUGCCAGCACCGGGCGCUGCUUCUGAAGCCAGCUCCGGGGUUACCACACCUGUUGAUCAAACCUCAC